GACGAACGCUGGCGGCGUGCCUAAUACAUGCAAGUAGGACGCAGUUGCGAACGGGUGAGUAACGCGUAGGUAACUGCCUCUUAGAGGGGGAUAACUAUUGGAAACGAUAGCUAAUACCGCAUACUAGUAGAUGGACCUGCGUUGUAUUAGCUAGUAGGUAGGGUAAUGGCCUACCUAGGCGACGAUACAUCGCCGACCGUGGAUGGUGAUCGGCCAAACUGGGACUGGGAAAAGGCCCAGACUCCGACGGGAGGAAGCAGAAGGGAAACUUCGGAAAUGGGGGGAACCCUGACCGAGCAACGCCGCGUGAGGGAAGAAGGGUUUCGGAUCGGAAAGCUCUGGUGUUAAGGAAGCGGUACUUAACCAGAAAGGGACGGCUAACUACGUGCCAGCAGCCGCGGUAAUUC
rnacentral:rRNA from 1 species